CUGGCGGGGCUGAGGCUGCCAGGAGGGUGAUGCCAUGGAGCACAGUGGUGGAUAAGGAAGACAUGGUCUGGCUGUAACAAUUUAGAAAUCUAAUGAAGCAGAUUAAAAAGCCAAUGGAAGCAUUUGAGAAAAAAACACCUUUCAAAGGGAACCUGUAUUAUGUUAUUGGAACAUUUGUUAAAAAUCUAUUAACCUCUAAGAGGCCAAGAACAGAAAUUCAGCAAUAAAAGGUAAACGUACUCUCAGAAACCACCUCUGGCCUGAAAAGAGGCCGACUGAAACAUAUACCUAUUUGAAGAUCCCUGGCACACAGAUACAGCAGAAGAAGCCCAAAUGAGUCCUGUUCUGUUGUCCAGGCUGGAGUGCAGCGGCGAGAUCUUGGCUCACUGCAACCUCCGCCUCCCAGGUUUAAGCCAUUCUCAUGCCUCAGCCUUCUAAGUAGCUGGAACUAAAGACAGGGUCUUUCUGUGUUGCCCAAGCUGGAGUGCAGUAGUGCUCGUCUCACUGCAAC
rnacentral:antisense_RNA from 1 species